rnacentral:rRNA from 1 species
AGGGAAUAUUGGACAAUGGGCGCAAGCCUGAUCCAGCCAUGCCGCGUGGAGGAAGGCGGCCCUCUGGGUUGUAAACUCCUUUUAUACAGGAAGAAACCUCCCCAUUUAUGGGUGAGCUGACGGUACUGUAGGAAUAAGCACCGGCUAACUCCGUGCCAGCAGCCGCGGUAAUACGGAGGGUGCAAGCGUUAUCCGGAUUCACUGGGUUUAAAGGGUGCGUAGGCGGAUUGUUAAGUCAGUGGUGAAAGCAACGGGCUCAACCUGUUAACUGCCAUUGAUACUGAUGGUCUUGAAUAUGAGGGAGGCAGGCGGAAUGUUGCAUGUAGCGGUGAAAUGCUUAGAUAUGCUACGGAACACCGAUUGCGAAGGCAGCUUGCUACUUCAUGAUUGACGCUGAGGCACGAAAGCGUGGGGAGCGAAC